rnacentral:rRNA from 1 species
GAUGAACGCUGGCGGCGUGCCUAAUACAUGCCAGUCGAGCGAACGGACGAGAAGCUUGCUUCUCUGAUGUUAGCGGCGGACGGGUGAGUAACACAUGGAUAACCUACCUAUAAGACUGGGAUAAAUUCGGGAAACCGGAGCUAAUACCGGAUAAUAUUUUGAACCGCAUGGUUCAAAAGUGAAAGACGGUCUUGCUGUCACUUAUAGAUGGAUCCGCGCUGCAUUAGCUAGUUGGUAAGGUAACGGCUUACCAAGGCAACGAUGCAUAGCCGACCUGAGAGGGUGAUCGGCCACACUGGAACUGAGACACGGGCCAGACUCCUACGGGAGGCAGCAGUAGGGAAUCUUCCGCAAUGGGCGAAAGCCUGACGGAGCAACGCCGCGGGAGGGAAGAAGGGCUUCGGAUCGUAAAACUCUGUUAUUAGGGAAGAACAUAUGUGUAAGUAACUGUGCACAUCUUGACGGUACCUAAUCAGAAAGCCACGGCUAACUACGUG